UUUAUGGAGAGUUUGAUCCUGGCUCAGGAUGAACGCUGGCGGCGUGCCUAAUACAUGCAAGUCGAGCGAACAGACGAGGAGCUUGCUCCUUUGACGUUAGCGGCGGACGGGUGAGUAACACGUGGGUAACCUACCUAUAAGACUGGGAUAACUUCGGGAAACCGGAGCUAAUACCGGAUAAUAUUUCGAACCGCAUGGUUCGAUAGUGAAAGAUGGCUUUGCUAUCA
rnacentral:rRNA from 1 species